ensembl:snRNA U6 U6 spliceosomal RNA
GUGCUUGCUUUGGUAGCACAUACACUAAAACUGGAACAAUACAGAGAUGAACGUGGCCCCUGAGCAAAGGUGACACGCAAAUUCGUGAAGCAUUCCAUGUUUUU